rnacentral:rRNA from 1 species
UACGAAGGGGGCUAGCGUUGCUCGGAAUCACUGGGCGUAAAGGGUGCGUAGGCGGGUCUUUAAGUCAGGGGUGAAAUCCUGGAGCUCAACUCCAGAACUGCCUUCGAUACUGCGGGUCUCGAGUCCGGGAGAGGUGAGUGGAAUUCCUAGUGUAGAGGUGAAAUUCGUAGAUAUUAGGAAGAACACCAGUGGCGAAGGCGGCUCACUGGCCCGGUACUGACGCUGAGGCGCGAAAGCGUGGGGAGCAAACAGG